rnacentral:rRNA from 1 species
GCCCGCUCAGAAACUUAAAGGAAGUUGACGGGGACCCGCACAAGCAGCGGAGCAUGUGGUUUAAUUCGAAGCAACGCGAAGAACCUACCAGGCCUUGACAUGCAGAGAACUUUCCAGAGAUGGAUUGGUGCCUUCGGGAACUCUGACACAGGUGCUGCAUGGCUGUCGUCAGCUCGUGUCGUGAGAUGUUGGGUUAAGUCCCGUAACGAGCGCAACCCUUGUCCUUAGUUACCAGCACGUUAUGGUGGGCACUCUAAGGAGACUGCCGGUGACAAACCGGAGGAAGGUGGGGAUGACGUCAAGUCAUCAUGGCCCUUGCGGCCUGGGCUACACACGUGCUACAAUGGUCGGUACAAAGGGUUGCCAAGCCGCGAGGUGGAGCUAAUCCCAUAAAACCGAUCGUAGUCCGGAUCGCAGUCUGCAACUCGACUGCGUGAAGUCGGAAUCGCUAGUAAUCGUGAAUCAGAAUGUCACGGUGAAUACGUUCCCGGGCCUU